rnacentral:rRNA from 1 species
CUAGGGAGUGGGAGAGGUAGACGGUACUCGGUAGGAAGGGGUAAAAUCCUUUGAUCUAUUGAUGACCACCUGUGGCGAAGGCGGUCUACCAGAACACGUUCGACGGUGAGGGAUGAAAGCUGGGGGAGCAAACCGGAUUAGAUACCCGGGUAGUCCCAGCUGUAAACGAUGCAAACUCGAUGAUGCGUUGGCUUGUUGCUAGCGCAGUGUCGCAGGGAAGCCGUUAAGUUUGCCGCCUGGGAAGUACGUACGCAAGUAUGAAACUUAAAGGAAUUGGCGGGGGAGCACCACAAGGGGUGAAGCCUGCGGUUCAAUUGGAGUCAACGCCAGAAAUCUUACCCGGAGAGACAGCAGAAUGAAGGUCAAGCUGAAGACUUUACCAGACAAGCUGAGAGGUGGUGCAUGGCCGUCGCCAGCUCGUGCCGUGAGAUGUCCUGUUAAGUCAGGUAACGAGCGAGAUCCCUGCCUCUAGUUGCCACCAUUACUCUCAGGAGUAGUGGGGCGAAUUAGCGGGACCGCCGCAGUUAAUGCGGAGGAAGGAAGGGGCCACGGCAGGUCAGUAUGCCCCGAAACUCUGGGGCCACACGCGGGCUGCAAUGGUAACGACAAU